rnacentral:snRNA from 2 species
GCGUGUUACAGCUCUUUUGGAAUUUGUCUAGCAGGUUUUCUGGUUUUCACUGCAAAACCCCCA